GACGAACGCUGGCGGCGUGCUUAACACAUGCAAGUCGAGCGGAAAGGCCCUUCGGGGUACUCGAGCGGCGAACGGGUGAGUAACACGUGAGUAAUCUGCCUCUAGCUCUGGGAUAGCUCCGGGAAACCGGGAUUAAUACCGGAUACGACCACUCAAGACAUCUUCUGUGGUGGAAAGAAUUUCGGCUAGAGAUGAGCUCGCGGCCUACCAGCUUGUUGGUGGGGUAACGGCCUACCAAGGCGACGACGGGUAGCCGGCCUGAGAGGGCGACCGGCCACACUGGGACUGAGACACGGCCCAGACUCCUACGGGAGGCAGCAGUGGGGAAUAUUGCGCAAUGGGCGAAAGCCUGACGCAGCGACGCCGCGUGGGGAGUGAAGGCC
rnacentral:rRNA from 1 species